ACCUAGGAAAAAUACAUUUGGAUGAGGAACUAGAUUUGUGGGUAAAUCUAUCUUGAAGGCCCCUUACUUGGCAGCCAGGGGCAAAGGGAUAUCUCCUAAAGAACCAGACAUGUUUCCCUUCAAUUGUCACAUAUGACACCACUGAAAGCGGAGGUUUAAAACAUUCUUCCUAGAUAGUGUGUGCUUAUUUUCCCAAGAGGCUAGCAGUCCCCCUCUCCCAGAGCCCUGGAGACGAAGGAUUCAUACCUUGUGUCUGGGCCAGGCUAAAAGAGGCUGAUCCUAUCUCACCUGCUUCCCACUCCCUGUGGGUUUCCAGCCAUAGCAGACUUCAUGGGUGCUUCCGUUCACUGGUCGGUAAGCAGAAUAAUUAUAACUUUUUUUUUAAGAGCGAUGUGAAUAUAAGCCACUCCCAUGCGGCCUGAGAGGUUGAACUGGAUGAUUAUCUUAUGAACAAAGAGCUCUAAUGAAGUAAGUGGGGUGGCUAAACUGGGUUGGGACCCAAGUUGUUGGACUUGACAGCUGCGGGUUAAGGGUGCCUGCCCUGGACAACAAACUCAUGGGGAAUAUGUAUUGCUUUGCAGUGCAGUUCUGAAAUUAUCUGUCAUUCUUACAGAAGAGCCAUAUACCCUAAUGGGAAUGAUAUUUACCCGCUAUCCACCUUGGAUAAUUAUUAUUUGAAAUUGGUCUUUAUUGUAUUAUGCUGCUGUUUGAAAACCUAUCACCUUUUCAUAAUCUCCUUGCAUAAUCUGGAAUAUUAUGUGAGUCUGAUCACCUUGUCACCUCUUAAAGAGAGAAAGAGGAAAAACUAAACAUCUGCUCUGCUCGGCAGGAACAUUUACUCUCCAGAGUUCCGGAGAAAGGAGCUUCUGACCUCUUCAGAAAGAGAACUGAAGUUGAAGGAAGUAAGUUGGCCUCCUGAGUUCCAGAAUGAUGUGGGUGUCAAGUCUAAGCUCCUUGAUUAGAAGUCAGCUCGAUAGGGUGAACACAGUGAUGGAAAAGGCAGAACACAUGGGCCUCUCACAAUUCUACCAGAUAACAUACUUAAAGAAUUAUGCUUCCUGUGGUUUCAAACUUGUGCCCUGCCUGAUUAGAGGCCUUAAUUCCCAGGAGAGAAGAAACAUUCAUUAGGAAUCACAGCAAGUCUAGUCAAUUGGGGUUUGAGAACAUCACUUGAAGAUUAAGAUUUUCGGGGUUUCUCUGUGAGUGAAGAAGACUCUCAUUUCUCUGACUGCGGGGAUCGAUCCUAUAACCAAGAGGUAGGUAAUCAUCAGAAAGGAAGCCAGCUGUUGCCAAGACAUCCUCUGGGGCCAUCUUGAUAGCUCCAUGCUGGUUUGUAAAUCUCAAUGCACAUGACAACUAAAGACAGGCAGAGGUAUAGAAGAUCCAGGGUCUUCGGAAAUGCAAGGCUAUGCUACGUUCCUGGUGAAGAACCCUGGCCAGAUAAAGUCCUGUCUGAGGACAAGAAAACACGGAAUGGUUGUGGAAGAAGUAGAUGUGCACCGGUGACAUUCGGACUGGCCAGGAACACCAGCAAGCAGGCGUGCAUCACUCUUUCUUACUUAUAUGACCGUAGAUAAUGGAAGGGGUUGACUGACUCUUUGUCCCUUCUUUUCACUCUAAUCAUUUCAUAAAGCAUCGGAAGGUAAGUCUAUACUUUAAUUAUGGAGUAACAGGGUUUUCAACCAUGGCUAGGUCUGAAGAACAAGUUAAUUCUUCCUAUCGAUGCUUAGGGAGAGUCGCUUGCAGUCACGAGUAAGUGUCAAGAUUUGUCUCUUCCCACUGGGGGGAGAGAGUGGGACAGUUUGCCUUGGUUGGAGAGUUCUGGUUUGUUAGAGCAGCUGUUUUGUAAUUAUGCGCAUGUACGUGAGAGAGGGUGGCUGCACCAAUCAGUACACCUUUCUGAACCACAGUGCAGGCUGUGUGCAGGGAUCUGCCAGGAAAGGCUGACAGGGAGUAACUGAAAGGCUGCGGGAAAAGACUAUUCCCAGGUUAGCCUCCACCCUGUAGAAUCCCAGGUAAAACCCAGGACACUUAAUGACAUUUGAAUUUUAGAUAAAAAUAAUUUUAUAUGGGUUUGUCCUAUGAGCCAUUUAGUAUACUUUUAAGAAGUAUCGUUUAUUUGACAUUGGAAUUUAGAAGAUAGUUUUGCAUCUGCUAAGUCAGACAGCCCCGAAGACUCGAUCCUCCAGUUCGGUAGGCAGUUGAACCCCUUCGCAAUGAUUCAUCCAUCAUUUAGAGCUAACCUCGAAGCCCUCAGCACCAGCCAGCUGCCUCCUCUUUUGUUCCUCAGCAUGGCGGGGGAGGGGGGCGGGUAGCAGAGUCUUAUUGUUUUUUGUUUUUGUUUUGUUCUUCCUGUUUUUCAAUUCUCCAAUACACAAUUCACACUUUUUGUGUUGAAUGUUCUCCUGGUACAGGUUCUGACUGACCCUGAGGGCUCACAACAAAACUGUAACCAUGGUGUCACAGUGAAGCCUCCAUGAUGCAGUCAAAGGGAAGGAAAUUAAAGUUUAUGGUUUGUGCCAUUUUAACCAUUAGAAACAAAAUGAGGUUAUCUGUGGUUAGUGGCAGGUGGAGCGAUGGAACAUGGGAGGUCCCAGAAUUCUUUUCAGUUUAAAGAGAGACUUUUUUUUUCUUUUAGAAAAUGGUUUCCCCAUCUAAAACCAGGGCAUAACAAUGUUUUUACCCUUUGACCUUAUACUUCUACUUUUAAAUACCGAUGCAUAGGAAUCUCUGAAAUAUGUCUACUAGAACAGCAGUUAAAAGUACUAGCUGCUCUCUCAGAGGUCCUGAGUUCAAUUCCCAGCAACUACAUGGUGGCUCACAGCCAUCAGUAUUGGGAUCUGAUUCCCGUUUCUGAUGUGCACAAAGACAUUAAAAUACGCGAAUACAUAAAUUAAAAAAAAUGAAGUGAAAGCUCUACAUAGCAAAAACUUCCCAUGGGACUGGGGAAAUGACUCAGUCUGUAAGGUGCUUUCUGCUCAUGUAAGGACCUGGAUUUGGUUGGGUCCUCAGCACCCAUGGGUAAGCUGGACAUGGUAGUAUGUGUCUGUAACCAAAGAAUGGAUUCAGGAGGAUCCCGGAGGGUCACUAGGUGAAAUGGUAAAUAACAUGUUAAACGUGACACUGUGUCUCAAAGAAUAAAGGUAGAACAUGAAGAGGAAUGGACUCAGUGUCAAACUCUGGGCUACACACUGGCGUGCAUGGGCACACACACCUUAAUACACCUCAUGCAAAAAAUUUUUAUUAAAGGUUUUAUGAUGAUUGCAUAGCGACCCAGGAAAUGCUAGGAAUUAGUAACUAACACAUCUCUAAAGCUGUAUGGAUUUUAUGUGUGCUCGUUCAGAUGCUGACACGCACCAGUGGGGAUGGCUUCUCCCUCCCUCGGAGGCCCCAGUUCAUUUGGAAUCAGUUUUUCUGUUCUGUAGAUUUUCUGUUUUCAGGGAGGCUGUUUGCACAUCAUCCGCCAGUAGAUGGCGCCAAAGACAUGUCAUGGUAGAUGUUUCCUGGGCUAGACAGUCUUCAAUUUGAUUUUCUGUUUUUGCGUAUUGGAUAUCUUUUGAGGUUGGAACCUGAGGGUUGAAUAACUGAACUUAUUGGCAGAACACAGUGCUGGAGGAGGUUGGUGAUUCUGACCUCCUAUACUUAGACAGAGGAGGAUACCGACCCGGAAGUGAAAGUGGAGUGGUUUAGUCUGUGCUCUAGAAGAAAAACUGGAACACAGCCUUUACUGGGGAGCUGGAGGCAGCACCCAGGGAGGAAUAAUUGCUCUGUGGGCGAGAAC